rnacentral:rRNA from 1 species
CAAUAGCGUAUAUUUAAGUUGUUGCAGUUAAAAAGCUCGUAGUUGGAUUUCGGGUGGGACGCAGCGGUCUCGCAUUGCGUUUGUACUGCUGCAGCCCUCCUUCUUGCCGGGGGCGGCCUCUCGGACUUCACUGUCUGGGGGUCAGAAUCGGCGAUGUUACUUUGAGUAAAUUAGAGUGUUCAAAGCAAGCUUACGCUCUGAAUAUAAUAGCAUGGGAUAACACGACAGGACUCUGGCCUAUCGUGUUGGUCUAUAGGACCAGAGUAAUGAUUAAGAGGGACAGUCGGGGGCAUUCGUAUUCCGUUGUCAGAGGUGAAAUUCUUGGAGUUACGGAAGACGAACAUCUGCGAAAGCAUUUGCCAAGGAUGUUUUCAUUGA